CUCACACCCAUCAACGCCCGGGUACUACGAGCCCCAGCUUAAAACCCAAAGGACUUGACGGUGUCCCAUCCACCUAGAGGAGCCUGUUCUAUAAUCGAUAAUCCCCGCUAAACCCCACCCCCUCUUGCAAUCAGCCUGUAUACCUCCGUCGUAAGCUUACCAUAUGAAUGACCCCAGUAAGCUAAAUGAUUAUAACACCCCAAUACGUCAGGUCAAGGUGCAGCUCAUGAGAAGGCAAGCAAUGGGCUACAAUUUCUAAUCUAGAACAAACGAAACACUGCAUGAAACUCAGCUGUGAAGGCGGAUUUAGUAGUAAAAAGAAAAUAGCGUGUUCUUUUUAACUAGGCCCUGGGACGUGUACACACCGCCCGUC
rnacentral:rRNA from 1 species